AGAGUUUGAUCCUGGCUCAGGACGAACGCUGGCGGCGUGCUUAACACAUGCAAGUCGAACGGAAAGGCCCUGCUUUUGUGGGGUGCUCGAGUGGCGAACGGGUGAGUAACACGUGAGUAACCUGCCCUUGACUUUGGGAUAACUUCAGGAAACUGGGGCUAAUACCGGAUAGGAGCUCCUGCUGCAUGGUGGGGGUUGGAAAGUUUCGGCGGUUGGGGAUGGACUCGCGGCUUAUCAGCUUGUUGGUGGGGUAGUGGCUUACCAAGGCUUUGACGGGUAGCCGGCCUGAGAGGGUGACCGGCCACAUUGGGACUGAGAUACGGCCCAGACUCCUACGGGAGGCAGCAGUGGGGAAUAUUGCACAAUGGGCGGAAGCCUGAUGCAGCAACGCCGCGUGCGGGAUGACGGCCUUCGGGUUGUAAACCGCUUUCGCCUGUGACGAAGCGUGAGUGACGGUAAUGGGUAAAGAAGCACCGGCUAACUACGUGCCAGCAGCCGCGGUGAUACGUAGGGUGCGAGCGUUGUCCGGAUUUAUUGGGCGUAAAGGGCUCGUAGGUGGUUGAUCGCGUCGGAAGUGUAAUCUUGGGGCUUAACCCUGAGCGUGCUUUCGAUACGGGUUGACUUGAGGAAGGUAGGGGAGAAUGGAAUUCCUGGUGGAGCGGUGGAAUGCGCAGAUAUCAGGAGGAACACCAGUGGCGAAGGCGGUUCUCUGGGCCUUUCCUGACGCUGAGGAGCGAAAGCGUGGGGAGCGAACAGGCUUAGAUACCCUGGUAGUCCACGCUGUAAACGGUGGGUACUAGGUGUGGGGUCCAUUCCACGGGUUCCGUGCCGUAGCUAACGCUUUAAGUGCCCCGCCUGGGGAGUACGGCCGCAAGGCUAAAACUCAAAGGAAUUGACGGGGCCCCGCACAAGCGGCGGAGCAUGCGGAUUAAUUCGAUGCAACGCGAAGAACCUUACCUGGGUUUGACAUGGAUCGGAAGCUUCCAGAGAUGGUUGUGCCUCUUUUGGGGUCGGUUCACAGGUGGUGCAUGGCUGUCGUCAGCUCGUGUCGUGAGAUGUUGGGUUAAGUCCCGCAACGAGCGCAACCC
rnacentral:rRNA from 1 species